AUUGAACGCUGGCGGCGUGCUUAACACAUGCAAGUCGAACGCGAAAGGGACUUCGGUCCUGAGUAAAGUGGCGCACGGGUGAGUAACGCGUGGAUAAUCUGCCCUUAUGAUUGGAAUAACAGUUGGAAACGGCUGCUAAUACCGAAUCCGCUCAAAAUGAACUUUUUGAGGAAAGAUGGACUCUGCUUGCAUGCUAUCGCAUAAGGAUGAGUCAGCGUCCCAUUAGCUUGUUGGCGGGGUAACGGCCCACCAAGGCAACGAUGGGUAGCCGAUUUGAGAGGAUGAUCGGCCACACUGGAACUGAAACACGGUCCAGACUCCUACGGGAGGCAGCAGUGGGGAAUAUUGCGCAAUGGGCGAAAGCCUGACGCAGCGACGCCGCGUGAGGGAUGAAGGUUUUCGGAUCGUAAACCUCUGUCAGAAGGGAAGAAACUACGUUGUGCUAAUCAGCAGCGUACUGACGGUACCUUCAAAGGAAGCACCGGCUAACUCCGUGCCAGCCGCCGCCGUAAAAC
rnacentral:rRNA from 1 species